rnacentral:misc_RNA from 1 species
GAUGAAGAACGCAGCGAAAUGCGAUAAGUAAUGUGAAUUGCAGAAUUCAGUGAAUCAUCGAAUCUUUGAACGCACCUUGCGCUCCUUGGUAUUCCGAGGAGCAUGCCUGUUUGAGUGUCAUGAAAUUCUCAACCUUUUCAGCUUUCUUUGUUGGUCAGGCUUGGAUGUGGGAGUAUGCGGGCUUCUCAGAAGUCGGCUCUCCUGAAAUGCAUUAGCGGGACCUUUGUUGCCUGGCUUUGGUGUGAUAAUUAUCUACGCCAUUGUAGUCAAGCAGCUUAAAAUGAGGUUUCAGCUUCUAACCGUCUCCCCUGAGACAACUUUUUGACAAUUUGACCUCAAAUCAGGUAGGACUACCCGCUGAACUUAAGCAUAUCAAUAAGCGGAGGA